AUGGAGAUUGUUGAUCUCACAAAGCUGCACUUGCAAUGCUUGCGAGAAGAUGAAGGGUGGAAUGAUUUUCUUGAGAAUGUCACUUCUUUUUGUGUAAAGCACAAGAUCAAAAUUGUUGACAUGGAGGCUCCUUACUAUCCUGCUGGGAGACCAAGAAGAGGGUGCUUCAAUGGCACAAAGAAUUACCAACGUUUCAAGGUUGAAACGUUUGUGGGUGUCAUUGAUAGGCAACUUCAAGAGCUGAAUGCAAGAUUUGAAGAGGUAAACACUGAACUACUUGCAUGGCAGCAUUCAGUCCACAUGAUUCAUUUGAUGCUUAUGAUAAAGAGAAGUUGGUUAGGCUUGCUAGAAAGUUUUAUGCUAAGGAUUUUACAAAUGAUGAAUUGUCAAGACUUCCAUGGCAAUUAA
rnacentral:rRNA from 1 species